GCACAGGUAGCAAUACCGGGUGGCGACCGGCGCACGGGUGAGUAACGCAUAUGCAACUUGCCUAUCAGAGGGGGAUAACCCGGCGAAAGUCGGACUAAUACCGCAUGAAGCAGGGGCCCCGCAUGGGGAUAUUUGCUAAAGAUUCAUCGCUGAUAGAUAGGCAUGCGUUCCAUUAGGCAGUUGGCGGGGUAACGGCCCACCAAACCGACGAUGGAUAGGGGUUCUGAGAGGAAGGUCCCCCACAUUGGUACUGAGACACGGACCAAACUCCUACGGGAGGCAGCAGUGAGGAAUAUUGGUCAAUGGCCGAGAGGCUGAACCAGCCAAGUCGCGUGAGGGAUGAAGGUUCUAUGGAUCGUAAACCUCUUUUAUAAGGGAAUAAAGUGCGGGACGUGUCCCGUUUUGUAUGUACCUUAUGAAUAAGGAUCGGCUAACUCCGUGCCAGCAGCCGCGGUAAUACGGAGGAUCCGAGCGUUAUCCGGAUUUAUUGGGUUUAAAGGGUGCGUAGGCGGCCUUUUAAGUCAGCGGUGAAAGUCUGUGGCUCAACCAUAGAAUUGCCGUUGAAACUGGGGGGCUUGAGUAUGUUUGAGGCAGGCGGAAUGCGUGGUGUAGCGGUGAAAUGCAUAGAUAUCACGCAGAACCCCGAUUGCGAAG
rnacentral:rRNA from 1 species